UACGUAGGGGGCAAGCGUUAUCCGGAAUUAUUGGGCGUAAAGAGCUCGUAGGCGGUUUGUCGCGUCUGCCGUGAAAGUCCGGGGCUCAACUCCGGAUCUGCGGUGGGUACGGGCAGACUAGAGUGAUGUAGGGGAGACUGGAAUUCCUGGUGUAGCGGUGAAAUGCGCAGAUAUCAGGAGGAACACCGAUGGCGAAGGCAGGUCUCUGGGCAUUAACUGACGCUGAGGAGCGAAAGCAUGGGGAGCAAACGGG
rnacentral:rRNA from 1 species